CGUUGGCUGACCAAAAAGCUGACAGCCGGAGAAGGGAAAAGAACAAGAGGAGGGAGUUUACCUGGACAUUCUCUUCAGUCACCUCGAUUUCAGCAGUAUAGAUGUAGUCAAUCAGCUUACUCAGCGUCUGCCCAUCCACGUCCUUGAUUUCUAUCUUUUUGGCUUUACUCUCAGACAUGUCACCUAUGGUCUCCUGCCCUGUCUUGGAAACAUAAAAGCACUUCCUGGGCUCCAGGAGGUUGUGUGAGAAUCAAAGGAGACAACCUGUGAACAUCGCACAGAAGUAGGGGCUGCAGGCUGCCAGGACCACACGGUGGGCUUCUAUCUCGACAUCUUCUGCCACAAUCAUCACGUCACACAACAGCUGUUUACUGUAAGA
rnacentral:lncRNA from 10 species